rnacentral:rRNA from 1 species
UAAAGUUUGAUCCUGGCUCAGANUGAACGCUGGCGGCAUGCCUUACACAUGCAAGUCGAACGGCAGCACGGGAGCAAUCCUGGUGGCGAGUGGCGAAACGGGUGAGUAAUACAUCGGAACGUGCCCUGUAGUGGGGGAUAACUAGUCGAAAGACUAGCUAAUACCGCAUACGACCUGAGGGUGAAAGUGGGGGACCGCAAGGCCUCAUGCUAUAGGAGCGGCCGAUGUCUGAUUAGCUAGUUGGUGGGGUAAAGGCCUACCAAGGCGACGAUCAGUAGCUGGUCUGAGAGGACGAUCAGCCACACUGGGACUGAGACACGGCCCAGACUCCUACGGGAGGCAGCAGUGGGGAAUUUUGGACAAUGGGGGCAACCCUGAUCCAGCAAUGCCGCGUGUGUGAAGAAGGCCUUCGGGUUGUAAAGCACUUUUGUCCGGGAAGAAAUCGCACCUGAUAAUACCGGGUGUGGAUGACGGUACCGGAAGAAUAAGGACCGGCUAACUACGUGCCAGCAGCCGCGGUAAUACGUAGGGUCCAAGCGUUAAUCGGAAUUACUGGGCGUAAAGCGUGCGCAGGCGGUUGUGCAAGACCGAUGUGAAAUCCCCGGGCUUAACCUGGGAAUUGCAUUGGUGACUGCACGGCUAGAGUGUGUCAGAGGGGGGUAGAAUUCCACGUGUAGCAGUGAAAUGCGUAGAGAUGUGGAGGAAUACCGAUGGCGAAGGCAGCCCCCUGGGAUAACACUGACGCUCAUGCACGAAAGCGUGGGGAGCAAACAGGAUUAGAUACCCUGGUAGUCCACGCCCUAAACGAUGUCAACUAGUUGUUGGGGAUUCAUUUCCUUAGUAACGUAGCUAACGCGUGAAGUUGACCGCCUGGGGAGUACGGUCGCAAGAUUAAAACUCAAAGGAAUUGACGG